GGUGAGAGCUGAUGAGACACUAAUGGCCAGAGCCCCACCGGGCGCUGCCCCUCCUCCGAUGAUGGCUCCCGGGAGAGUGGUACCCCAGGAAGUGACCGCAGUCAGAAGCCAGAGAAACCAGAGACCUGGGCUGGAGCCCAGCUCGUUCACUGGGGUUCGGGACACGUGGUAAACCCUCCGCAGGCCCCACUCCUGCCUCUCCCAAACAGCCACAGGCAGGGAGCUGCUGUCAGAUGAAGACCUCACGCCCUGCAAGACCCAGAGUAGGCUGUGCUCAACCCACGAAGAACGGUCAGUCUGUUAAUUCACUGCAUUCCUGAUCCGUGAAAACCGGUAGCUGCCCCCAGGACAUCGGAACAGAAUAAUGUCAAAUCAUGUUGGUGACAGCUGGUAUCUGUGCCCCAGUCCUGACUUCGGUGGGGGCUGGCCUCGUGUUUCGCCCUGAGGGAUGCCGUUUGGUUUUAGGAUGGAGCAGAACCUCACAGUUCUAGCAGAGCCCGCUCUCUGGCACCCACCUCGAAGGAGCUCCUGCUUCCUAGUGAGACACUCGCGCUCCUUGUCACAGAUCUCCCGCCUGUUGUCAGCAGUGAUCUUCUUCAUCGCCAGCUCCAAGUCGUCCUUCUGCUUGGCCAGGAAGUCCCGGUCCUGUGUGGGAGAGACGAGGUCAGACCUUUAGCGCUGGCUUCGGCAUCUCGCCCUCUACUGUUACGACAGGAGAAAAGUCGUCAUGAGCAGCAAAGACAACAUGUGUGGGGGAAAUGUGAGACUUAGAGACAUCAGCCACCUGUGGCACAUGCACUUUUUGUGGACCCCGAUUCAAACAAAUUGUAAGAAAGAAAAAAAUUAAUGAGACAAUUGGAAAUGUACAUAAUGAUUCAACUGCAAAUAAGUAAUUAUUGUUAAAUAUUUAAAGUUUUAGGUACGUUUAUAGUAUUGUGGAUUUUUUUUUUUUUUAGAGAUAAUACGGAGACCUACAGGUGAAAUGACAGGAUGUGUGGGAUUUGAUUCAAAAUAACACAGGAGGGCGGGGGAGUAAGGAGACAUGAGUUCAUAAUUCCUGUGUUCUGGUAAUGAGGGGGUGCCUGUUGUGCCUCUUUCUGCCUAUGUGUUUUAUUUGCCAUAAUAAAGAGUUAAAAAAAUUAAAAUUUAAAAACCUUAGGGAACCCCUAAACAGAAAUAAAAACCCCCACGAACCCUCUCACCCAGGAGUAGCAGCUGGUUUGGGUGUAUCUAUACAGACACGUUUAUGUAAAAGGACUUAGAGAUCUGUACACCCAUGUUCGUAACAGUGUUAUUCACGAUAGCUACGGGAUGGAAACGACUCACGUAUCCACAGACAGAAGAGUGCACAGACAAAAUGUAGUACAGAUACACGUGGAACAUUACUCAGCCCUGAAAAGGAAGGAAAUGCUUAUAUGUGCUACAACAUGGGUGAAUCUCGAGGGCAUGUUAAAUCGAAGGAAAGCAGACACAAAGGACAGAUACCGUAUGAUCCCACAUGCAGGUCAGAUUUGUGGAGACAGAAAGUAGAAUGGUGGUUGCCAGGGACUGGGGAAGGGGUAUCGUGGGGUGUUUUACUAUCUAUUCAGUAGUUUCAGUUUUGCCGGAUAAAGCGUUCUGGGGAUGGAUGGUGGGGCUGGUUUGCACAACAGUGUGAAUGUACUUAAUGCCACUGAA